rnacentral:rRNA from 1 species
AAUGGACGCUGGCGGCAUGCCUAACACAUGCAAGUCGAACGAUGCUUUCGGGCAUAGUGGCGCACGGGUGCGUAACGCGUGGGAAUCUGCCCUUAGGUUCGGAAUAACAGUUGGAAACGACUGCUAAUUCCGGAUGAUGACGUAAGUCCAAAGAUUUAUCGCCUGAGGAUGAGCCCGCGUAGGAUUAGGUAGUUGGUGUGGUAAAGGCGCACCAAGCCGACGAUCCUUAGCUGGUCUGAGAGGAUGAUCAGCCACACUGGGACUGAGACACGGCCAAGACUCCUACGGGAGGAAGCAGUGGGGAAUAUUAGACCAUGGGCGAGAUCCUGAUCCAGCCAUCCCGCGUGAGUGAUGAAGGCCUUAGGGUUGUAAAGCUCUUGUAGCCGUGCUGUUAAUGACAGUACCGGGAGAAUAAGCGCCGGCUAACUCCGUGCCAGCCGCCGCCGUAA